UACGUAGGGUGCAAGCGUUUAAUCGGAAUUACUGGGCGUAAAGCGUGCGCAGGCGGUUAUGUAAGACAGUUGUGAAAUCCCCGGGCUCAACCUGGGAAUUGCAUCUGUGACUGCAUAGCUAGAGUACGGUAGAGGGGGAUGGAAUUCCGCGUGUAGCAGUGAAAUGCGUAGAUAUGCGGAGGAACACCGAUGGCGAAGGCAAUCCCCUGGACCUGUACUGACGCUCAUGCAUCGAAAAGCGUGG
rnacentral:rRNA from 1 species